GUGACUCAGGUAACUGGUAAUAUCAAAUAUGACUUUUGGUUAGAAAAUGCAUGAAACAAGCAACACUGAAAAGUCUGUUAUUUUUUCUAAAUAAACUCUUGCAUUCCUUGGUUACGCAAAUACACGACAACAAUACAAAUCUUGAACAUUCAAAUAUCCAUCAAGAUAGGACUUAUGGAUAAUUCCAGAUGAUUGGGCCAAAUCGGGAUCACUUUGCUGAACAACGUUCCCUUUGACAAAAUCCCGGGACAUGGAAAUCCUCAAGUGUUCCCAUGUUUCAACCAGAGAUUCAAGUUGGUGUAGGGCUGAUGAAUUUUUCCUUCAUUUUCCCAGUUAAACCCAUUCCGAACAGGUUCGGAAUUCUGCAUCUGGUCAGUAUGGAUUCCUACUCAAAUGCAACAACUGAAUCCAUACUGACUGUUCAGGAGUCCGAAUCAAAUUCCGAACGGUUUGACCGGGUUGGAUUGGAUAUUCACAGCUUCCAAAAUUCCUGCUAACACGCACCAGUGUCCAACUGAUGAUCGUAGUACCCUCACCUUACCCUGCAUUAACGGACAGUGUGUAUCCGAAGCUGUAGUGUUGGAAAUUUAAAGCAGCUUCCUGGAGGUCAAGUCAAUUUUUAAACGUUUA